rnacentral:rRNA from 1 species
UUCCGGUUGAUCCUGCCGGAGGCCAUUGCUAUCGGAGUUCGAUUUAGCCAUGCUAGUCGCACGGGUUUAGACCCGUGGCGAAAAGCUCAGUAACACGUGGCCAAACUACCCUAUAGAUCGGAAUAACCUCGGGAAACUGAGGCUAAUGCCGAAUACCGCUCCUGCACUGGGAUGUGCGGAGCUCGAAACGCUCCGGCGCUAUAGGAUGUGGCUGCGGCCGAUUAGGUUGACGGUGGGGUAACGGCCCACCGUGCCUAUAAUCGGUACGGGUUGUGAGAGCAAGAGCCCGGAGACGGUAUCUGAGACAAGAUACCGGGCCCUACGGGGCGCAGCAGGCGCGAAAACUUUACACUGCACGAGAGUGCGAUAAGGGAACUCCGAGUGCGAGGGCAUAGAGCCCUCGCUUUUGUACACCGUAAGGUGGUGUACGAAUAAGGGCUGGGCAAGACCGGUGCCAGCCGCCGCGGUAAUACCGGCAGCCCAAGUGAUGGCCGAUAUUAUUGGGCCUAAAGCGUCCGUAGCUGGCCGGACAAGUCCGUUGGGAAAUCCGCGCGCUCAACGCGCGGGCGUCCAGCGGAAACUGUCCGGCUUGGGGCCGGAAGACCUGAGGGGUACGUCCGGGGUAGGAGUGAAAUCCUGUAAUCUCGGACGGACCGCCUGUGGCGAAAGCGCCUCAGGAAGACGGACCCGACAGUGAGGGACGAAAGCCAGGGUCUCGAACCGGAUUAGAUACCCGGGUAGUCCUGGCUGUAAACGAUGUCCGCUAGGUGUGGCGCAGGCUACGAGCCUGCGCUGUGCCGUAGGGAAGCCGUGAAGCGGACCGCCUGGGAAGUACGUCUGCAAGGAUGAAACUUAAAGGAAUUGGCGGGGGAGCACUACAACCGGAGGAGCCUGCGGUUUAAUUGGAUUCAACGCCGGG